GGCUGGUCAGAGUAUGGUGCUAUUUACAACUAAUUGAUCACAGCCAGUUAUAGAUUCCUUUGUUCCUUCUCCAUGCCCACUGCUCACUUGACUAGCCUAAA
rnacentral:Y_RNA from 1 species